rnacentral:rRNA from 1 species
CGGCGGACGGCUAGAAGUACGCGGUAGGAACAUCGACCCAAGUGAGGAUACGCAACCGAAAGGUGUGCUAAUACCGCAUAUGGUCUUCGGAUUAAAGGAUUUUAUCCGCUUUGGGAGUGGCCCGCGUACGAUUAGAUUGUUGGUGAGGUAACGGCUCACCAAGUCGACGAUCGUUAACUGGUCUGAGAGGAUGAUCAGUCAGACUGGAACUGAGACACGGUCCAGACUCCUACGGGAGGCAGCAGUAAGGAAUCUUCCACAAUGGGCGAAAGCCUGAUGGAGCAACGCCGCGUGCAGGAUGAAGGCCCUCGGGUCGUAAACUGCUUUUAUGAGUGAAGAAUAUGACGGUAACUCAUGAAUAAGCACCGGCUAACUACGUG